UGCAGACCUUUCAAACAGAAACUGGAAAUUCUGCCCAAGUGAACCAAUCUCUAGGCACCUGGGAUCCAUGGUGGACGGUGAUCAAUUGUGUGGCUUUUUUCAAAAAGGAAAAAGCAAUACCCCGGCUGAUCUCUCCUGGCGGCAGAAGCAACUUGGAGCUCCCAAAUAUUCAGCAGUCCUCGCUCCACUAAUGAUCAUCACACUAGCGAGGACCAGAGUACCCCUACCGCAUUCUCACUGCAGCAGGGCGCGGCCAAUCACCUCUGCCGACACUACCCAGUUCAUUAUCCCAACCGGCAGCGCUCCUCCAAUCACAGGCGGCCGAUUCCCUGCAUGCAUGCGGCCGGCAGCUCUGCAGGGAGGUGCUGAUGGCGAGCUCCAGGCUCCGAGCGAGCCUCCCACCUCGCAGAGUCCUCCCUGUGCUGGCGCCCGCCCGCAGGACCCCAACUUCCUUCUCCCCGCCUGCUCGUUUCCGGGACGACAUUCACCAUCAAGGUUAACAUGAUCGACAGGCCCUGGCAACACUUCCUAACACAUCUAGCAACAUUUUUCUUUGCUCCCUUAUCCCAUUCUCUCCAACGGAGCGGAAAACAAUACCCGCCAUACCGGCUACUUACUCUCCCCGUGUCUUCCUCUACGCCAUGAGCUGCUUGGGGACAGGAACCAAGUCACUCAUGUUUCUACCGGUAGUACCCACAACCAGCACAGAUGAAGUCUGCAGACUGGGAUUGCGUCUAUGAUGAUGAAUAAAAGGGAAUUAAUCUUU